CCGGAAAGUUGAUCAACGAAUGCUGAUGAUUAUAAUGAUUGUUGAUGAAAUUCACGACAAUAAUAUUACUCCUAUGACAGUUAAUAAUCCCGACAUGAUCAAAAUGAUUCAUUGCCAUCUUACUUACCAGGCUCCUCCUAUAGUAGUGUAUUGAGAAAAGGCAAAUGCACUGAGGACAAGGCAAGGACUUUGACACACUUAUAUACUACUCAACCAAUUCCAUGUUACGCAAUUAAGUAAUAAGAAUAUUCACAUCAAAAAAGAAAGAAAGACAAGUGUGGUGGGGCCUAAUACCAGGCAAAGUGCAACUCGAGAGGAGGGGGGGUUCCCUUUGCAACCAUUGAAGGGUCAGUUUCCAAAAAAAUUCUGAAAAGAAAAAUUAAAAAUUGAUCAUAAUGUUAUAAAGAAAUGAAGCCCACAUAGAUAAAGUUAUAGGGCAUUAGUCAAAAGAUGGAGAUAUAGCUAGAUUGUAUUAGUCAAAAGAUGGAGAUAUAGUUAGAUUGUAUUAGUCAAAAGAUGGGAUAAUGAUGUUGGGGAGAAAUCAUUAUGUCUCCCUUAAAAGCCAUUUGCUUUGCCUAUAAAUAGGCAUUAUAUUUGCUUGUAAACAUACGGAAGAGAAGAAGAGAAAGAGUGAGAGUCAGAGAGAAGAGAAAGAGUGGAGUCUAUCUGAGGAGAAAUUCUGUCAGUGUAAACACCACAAAGAGAAAUAUAAUUUCACUCCCAAUAUUACAGUGGUACUUCUCAUCCUCUGAUUAUUCUAGUUUUAUAACACGUUAUCAGCACAAAAGUCUCUCCUUUUUGUUUCUGAAUUUUUC
rnacentral:lncRNA from 1 species